ensembl:lncRNA
UGUGUGUGUGUGUGUGUGUGUGUGUGUGUGUGUGUGCUUGCCUGCAUUCCUUUGUGUGUGUGUGUGUAGGAGUGUGUGUGCUUUUGUGUGUGACUGCAUGUGUGAAUGUGUGCUACUGUGUGUGUGUGUAUUGCGUGUGCCUUUGUGCGAGUGUGUGCUUUUGUCUGUGUGACUGCUUGUGCAUGCGAGUGUGUGAUUGUGUGGCUCUGUGAGUGUGUGUUUCUGUGCCUUCAGGUGUGCAUGUGGGUGCAGCAGCGUGAGGAGCAGAGGGUUGGGGGUCAGGGGUGCUGGACUAGCAAUCAGCUUGCACAUGCCUGGAGCAGCUGGAAGUGGGGGGCGGCGUGGAGGAGGAGGCAGACACCCAAGCGGACCCUUCCUGCACCAGGGAACAUGGGCGGUGCUUUCCUGGAACCUGAAAACGUGCCCCCAGGGGCCCGGCUCAGCCCGGAAGCCUGCCACGCUUCAGUGACUGUUACUCCAAGCUCCCCCCGUGCCAGUGCCCACCUGGGGUGUGAGGGGGACCAGAUGCUCCAGGGCAGGCACUCUGGGCCAUGGGACGAAGGGACCGGGGAAUGGUCACUGCGGGAUGACCCAGGGCUGAGCGGCCAGGAGGGCAACUUGGUCAGCUGAUGGUUCCCACGGGCUGGCAUGGUUUUAGCCCUGUUGCAUGUGGCACUGGGCUGACAAGACAGGACCAUGGUGAUUCAGUGUGAUUCUGGUGCAGCAUCUCUGGCACCAGAGGGGCCUAAGGCGGAGCCUCCUGGGGCGUCCACAGGGCCCUGCCUGCCUCUCUGGGUGAGACCUGGCUGGGGGAGGCCCUGGCUGAGGAGCACUGUCUCUGGCACCGCCUCGGAGAGGAAAGGACAGUGCCUGUUUCUCUCCUGGCAGCUGUCACCGGCCCCUCGGAAGAUAUCCCAAUGCGGUUUUGCUCAAAUAUGGGUCGAGAUGCACCAGCGUGUGGACACCUUCCUGCAAAAUCUCUUUGAGGACAACAUGCAGGUGGCUGGGCAUCACCCACUCCUGUCCCCUCCUGGCUGGGGCAAGGACGGACUCAGUGAGGAGCUGCUUGGAGCUUUCGAUACUCAGCUGGAGAACGACGACGACUCGCAGGUGGAGUUAGCCCUGAUGAAGCUGGAGGACGGACUCAGUGAGGACCUGCUUGGAGCUUUCGAUGCUCAGCUGGAGAACGACGACUCGAAUCCAGUCCUCUGCUCAACGAAGUCCGGCAGGGAGUCCGUUCUAGAGUCCGAAGGCCUCCUGGCCACAACCAGCCACAUUAUGCGCUAGCGGUCCGGGAGCCCAGGCAGAGCACUUUCAGACGCAUCCUUGAGCUGUUUGAGGAAAUGCUGAAGCGCCUGCAGCAGAGGUGGAGGGGUGCCCUGGCUUGGGUGCAGGAAAGGGCUGCUGCCUGCUUCCGGGGCUUGUGCAGGGCCCUUGAAGCUUUCUGGAGCCUGGUGCAGAGUUUUUGCUCCUCCAUGGGGCACGCCUUCGGGAGUGUCAUCCAGGUCUAAGGUGCUCCAGGUGAAAUAAGAGUUUCUAGAGCACAACCUCCCCCUGCCUUGGCUAAAAAGGCAGCUGUAAGCCUUUCCAGCUGUGCUCACCUCAUACCACCCUUCUUGUAAUAAUGUAGCAGCUGGGGAGUUCCCGUCGUGGCGCAGUGGUUAACGAAUCCGACUAGGAACNNNNNNNNNNNNNNNNNNNNNNNNNNNNNNNNNNNNNNNNNNNNNNNNNNNNNNNNNNNNNNNNNNNNNNNNNNNNNNUGAACUGUGGUGUAGGUUGCAGACUCGGCUUGGACCUGGCAUUGCUGUGGCUCUGGUGUAGGCCAGCAGCUGUAGCUUUGAUUAGACCCUUAGCCUGGGAACUUCCAUAUACCACAAAAAAAAAAAAAAAAAAAAAAAAAAAAAAAAAAAAAAGUAGCAGCUGGGUGCCCUCUGCCCAAGCCAGCAGCCCUGCUAAUGGUGUACCCAGCAUUUCUUAUCCGUUCCGCUUCUGUCACCUCACUUGCUCAGACAGGGAGGAAUACUGUGCUGGGGGAAGGGGGAAGGUCCGGGAUGCUUACCUGGAAAGAUAAGACCUUGACAUGUGUAAAAGCUGCCGAGAACAAAGACCUGGUACUCAGACUCUGGAGGUGGCUCCUCCGAGCCUGCACCGGUGCUGAAUAAAGCUUGCCUUUCCAUAUCUCCGAGUGCCGUUUGUCUCCUUUCACUGCCAAGGUUUUUGCGGUUUCCGCAACACAAGGGGCCCGGGAAGCAGCUUGGCGUCUCCUACAAGGCCUCAGGUGUCCUGCUUCUCAGACGGAAGCUUCUGAAGGGACCUUUAUCUGCUGCUCCCCCUCGACCGAGCCUCACGGCUCCCCUUCCCUCCUCCCUCUCCGGAAGGACUCUGCCAGCCAGCGCUUCUGUCCCACCCAGCUUCCUGCUCCAGCUGGGACCCGCCUGUCGCUCUAGAGCUAAUAUCCUAAUGAAAGUUGUUUGAGGAGUUCCCACUGUGGCUCAGUGGUUAAUGAAUCCCACUAGGGACCAUGAGGUUUCAGGUUCGAUCCCUGGCUUUGCUCAGUGGGUUAAGGAUCUGGUGUUGCCGUGAGCUGUGAUGUAGGUCGCAGAUGCUGCUCGGAUCCCAUGUUGCUGUGACUGUGGUGUAGGCUGGUGGCCACAGGCCCAAGUGGACCCCUAGCCUGGGAACCUCCCUAUGCCUUGGGUGCAGCCCUAGAAGAGGCAAAAAAAAAAAGUUGUUUGAAACCAGCAGGUGCCUGUGGGGUUGGGAGGCAGAGGGCCCGGUGCUUAUCAGUGGAAGUUGUGAGUCAGAUGCCCACCCCUGUGGGGGGGGCGGGGGGCUUCCUGGCUCUGGGGGAGCAAGGACAAGCCAGGCUGGCCCUCGAAUUAGUUCCUGGGGACCCUGGGCACUCACAUGGGUCGUGGAUUCAUGGUGAUGACGGCGACAUCUCAGGCCAGGGCCCCCAUUAUCCCGGAGCCUGAUGCAGAGCAGGGGCUCAGUAAAUGCCACCCCUGGGGCGCAGGGAGCUGGGGCCAGGGCCUUCGUCCCUAUUUGCUUCCCCGGGCCUCUCUCUUUGGGCCUCACUGCUCUAGCCUCUAGCUGGGGCCUCGGAAGCUCCUUGGUCUUUCUCACAAUAUCAGAGGCCCAGG